rnacentral:rRNA from 1 species
GUGCCAGCAGCAGCGGUAAUACGUAGGGUCCGAGCGUUGUCCGGAAUUAUUGGGCGUAAAGGGCUCGUAGGCGGUUUGUCGCGUCGGGAGUGAAAACCAUGGGCUUAACUCAUGGCUUGCUUUCGAUACGGGCAGACUAGAGGUAUGCAGGGGAGAAUGGAAUUCCUGGUGUAGCGGUGAAAUGCGCAGAUAUCAGGAGGAACACCGGUGGCGAAGGCGGUUCUCUGGGCAUUACCUGACGCUGAGGAGCGAAAGUGUGGGAGCGAACAGGAUUAGAUACCCUGGUAGUCCACACCGUAAACGUUGGGCGCUAGGUGUGGGCCUAGUUCC